rnacentral:rRNA from 1 species
AACGAACGCUGGCGGCAUGCCUAACACAUGCAAGUCGAACGAGACCUUCGGGUCUAGUGGCGCACGGGUGCGUAACGCGUGGGAACCUGCCCUUAGGUUCGGAUUAACUCCCCGAAAGGGGUGCUAAUACCGGAUAAUGUCUUCGGACCAAAGAUUUAUCGCCUUUGGAUGGGCCCGCGUUGGAUUAGCUAGUUGGUAGGGUAAAAGCCUACCAAGGCGACGAUCCAUAGCUGGUCUGAGAGGAUGAUCAGCCACACUGGGACUGAGACACGGCCCAGACUGCGAAGGGACGGAGUGGCGGGGAACGGCGGCAAGGGAGACAACGCGGUGAGAGUGUGGGCUGGGUGAGAGGUGGCGGCCUGGUGGUUGUAAGUCUCUCCUGCCGGGGAAGAGAUAGACGCGCCGAGAAGAAUCUGCGCCCGCUACCUCGGGGCCAGCGGCCGCGGGAAGACCUGGAGGACCCCCCUUCUGAGC